AUCCAGCUGACGAGUCCCAAAUAGAACGAAACGCGCUUCAAUCUGGAU
rnacentral:hammerhead_ribozyme from 1 species